rnacentral:rRNA from 1 species
UACGAAGGGGGCGAGCGUUGUUCGGAAUUACUGGGCGUAAAGGGCUCGUAGGUGGCCAACUAAGUCAGACGUGAAAUCCCUCGGCUUAACCGGGGAACUGCAUCUGAUACUGGAUGGCUUGAGUUUGGGAGAGGGAUGCGGAAUUCCAGGUGUAGCGGUAAAAUGCGUAGAUAUCUGGAGGAACACCGGUGGCGAAGGCGGCAUCCUGGACCAACACUGACACUGAGGAGCGAAAGCCAGGGGAGCAAACGGG